rnacentral:rRNA from 1 species
AGAGUUUGAUCAUGGCUCAGAUUGAACGCUGGCGGCAGGCCUAACACAUGCAAGUCGAACGGUAACAUUUCUAGCUUGCUAGAAGAUGACGAGUGGCGGACGGGUGAGUAAUGCUUGGGAACUUGCCUUUGCGAGGGGGAUAACAGUUGGAAACGACUGCUAAUACCGCAUAAUGUCUACGGACCAAACGGGGCUUAGGCUCCGGCGCAAAGAGAGGCCCAAGUGAGAUUAGCUAGUCGGUAAGGUAAUGGCUUACCAAGGCAACGAUCUCUAGCUGUUCUGAGAGGAAGAUCAGCCACACUGGAACUGAGACACGGUCCAGACUCCUACGGGAGGCAGCAGUGGGGAAUAUUGCACAAUGGGGGAAACCCUGAUGCAGCCAUGCCGCGUGUGUGAAGAAGGCCUUCGGGUUGUAAAGCACUUUCAGUUGUGAGGAAAAGUUAGUAGUUAAUACCUGCUAGCCGUGACGUUAACAACAGAAGAAGCACCGGCUAACUCCGUGCCAGCAGCCGCGGUAAUACGGAGGGUGCGAGCGUUAAUCGGAAUUACUGGGCGUAAAGCGCACGCAGGCGGUUUGUUAAGCUAGAUGUGAAAGCCCCGGGCUCAACCUGGGAUAGUCAUUUAGAACUGGCAGACUAGAGUCUUGGAGAGGGGAGUGGAAUUCCAGGUGUAGCGGUGAAAUGCGUAGAUAUCUGGAGGAACAUCAGUGGCGAAGG